rnacentral:rRNA from 1 species
UACGUAGGGUGCGAGCGUUAAUCGGAAUUACUGGGCGUAAAGCGUGCGCAGGCGGCUUUGCAAGACAGAUGUGAAAUCCCCGGGCUCAACCUGGGAACUGCAUUUGUGACUGCAUCGCUGGAGUACGGCAGAGGGGGAUGGAAUUCCGCGUGUAGCAGUGAAAUGCGUAGAUAUGCGGAGGAACACCGAUGGCGAAGGCAAUCCCCUGGGCCUGUACUGACGCUCAUGCACGAAAGCGUGGGGAGCAAACAGG